GGAUAGCUCAGUCGGGAGAGCAUGAGGCUCUUAAAUCUCACGGUCGUGGGUUCGAAACCCGUGUUGGGCG